rnacentral:rRNA from 1 species
CCGCCUGGGGAGUACGGCCGCAAGGUUAAAACUCAAAUGAAUUGACGGGGGCCCGCACAAGCGGUGGAGCAUGUGGUUUAAUUCGAUGCAACGCGAAGAACCUUACCUGGUCUUGACAUCCACAGAAGAAUCCAGAGAUGGAUUUGUGCCUUCGGGAACUGUGAGACAGGUGCUGCAUGGCUGUCGUCAGCUCGUGUUGUGAAAUGUUGGGUUAAGUCCCGCAACGAGCGCAACCCUUAUCCUUUGUUGCCAGCGGU